AUUGAACGCUGGCGGCAUGCUUUAUACAUGCAAGUCGUGCGGCAGCGCGGGGGCAACUCUGGCGGCGAGCGGCGAACGGGUGAGUAAUACAUAGGAACGUAUCCUGAAAUGGGGGAUAGCUCGGCGAAAGCCGGAUUAAUACCGCAUACGCUCCACGGAGGAAAGCAGGGGAUCGCAAGACCUUGCGUUUCUGGAGCGGCCUAUGUCUGAUUAGCAGUUGGCGGGGUAAUAGCCCACCAAGGCGACGAUCAGUAGCUGGUCUGAGAGGAUGAUCAGCCACACUGGGACUGAGACACGGCCCAGACUCCUACGGGAGGCAGCAGUAGGAAUUUUGGACAAGUGGGGCAACCCUGAUCCAGCCAUGCCGCGUGAGUGAAGAA
rnacentral:rRNA from 1 species